UUAGGACAUUAUUAGGCAAGACUAUGAAGAAAUUAUUAAUAGACCCUUGUUGGAGGUGAAACGAAUGUGUCAACCUCAGCCGACAGCAACUAUUGAACCUGAUAACACAGAAGACUGGGAAUCAGAGGCGGUUAGUGAACCCUUUUCAAUCAUUUCCCAUAACAUGACAGUUGAAGAAGUUGAUGCCUAUGACAUUGUACAAGCAAUGCAAGAGGUCCAGGUGGAAGCACAUGCUUCUUCAUCAAGGUCUUAUCAUCCCCCAGGUUUGCCAACAACACCAAACUUACAAAGUUCACAACAGAAGCAAGCAGCUGAUGGGUGAGUUUACAAGUUAAGUGAAAUGUAGGAAUGAAUAUUUUGGAAAUGUGAACGGUGGAAGAUGGCUUUGUUUUAUAAAAAUAUAAUAUGAACCAGCCUCCUCAGCUCAUUGCUUGGUUUGGCCAAUCGAACAUUUGAAAUAGAACUUUAUCAAAAAACAGAAUUGUGUUUGGUUGAAAACAUUGUGGCUAAAGUAGUGGGGGGCAAGACUUCUAUGGAAGUGUUGCCUGCUGCGGGAGCCAAUCCUUACCUUGAAGAAGUUAGUCAAAAAUUGUAGGAUGUGCUGUUGGUUAUUUAUUUUAUAUGAUUUAUCCUUGAUGUCUUA